UCCAGACUCCUACGGGAGGCAGCAGUGGGGAAUAUUGCACAAUGGGGGGAACCCUGAUGCAGCGACGCCGCGUGGGUGAAGGAGCACCUCGGUGCGUAAAGCCCUCUCGGCAGGGGAGAAAAGCGAACAGGUUCGCCUGGACGGUACCUGGCUAAGAAGCCCCGGCUAACUACGUGCCAGCAGCCGCGGUAAUACGUAGGGGGCGAGCGUUAUCCGGAAUUACUGGGUGUAAAGGGAGCGUAGACGGCGAGGUAAGCCUGAAGUGGAAGCCCGCGGCCCAACCGCGGAACUGCUUUGGGAACUGUUUUGCUGGAGUAUGGGAGGGGUAAGCGGAAUUCCUGGUGUAGCGGUGAAAUGCGUAGAUAUCAGGAGGAACACCGGUGGCGAAGGCGGCUUACUGGACCAUAACUGACGUUGAGGCUCGAAAGCGUGGGGAGCGAACAGGAUUAGAUACCCCAGUA
rnacentral:rRNA from 1 species